rnacentral:rRNA from 1 species
UACGUAGGUGGCAAGCGUUACUCGGAAUCACUAGGCGUAAAGCGCAGGUAGGAGGUUUGGUAAGUCUAUUGUGAAAGCUCCCGGCUUAACUGGGAGAGGUCAAUGGAAACUACCAGGCUGGAGUGCGGUAGAGGUAGCUGGAAUUCCUGGUGUAGCGGUGAAAUGCGCAGAUAUCAGGAGGAACACCGGUGGCGAAGGCGGGUCUCUGGGCCGUAACUGACGCUGAGGAGCGAAAGCAUGGGGGAGCGAACAGG